rnacentral:rRNA from 1 species
UGGGGAAUAUUGCACAAUGGGCGCAAGCCUGAUGCAGCCAUGCCGCGUGUAUGAAGAAGGCCUUCGGGUUGUAAAGUACUUUCAGCGGGGAGGAAGGUGUUGAGGCUAAUAACCUCAGCAAUUGACGUUACCCGCAGAAGAAGCACCGGCUAACUCCGUGCCAGCAGCCGCGGUAAUACGGAGGGUGCAAGCGUUAAUCGGAAUUACUGGGCGUAAAGCGCACGCAGGCGGUUUGUCAAGUCGGAUGGGAAAUCCCCGGGCUCAACCUGGGAACUGCAUUCGAAACUGGCAGGCUAGAGUCUUGUAGAGGGGGGUAGAAUUCCAGGUGUAGCGGUGAAAUGCGUAGAGAUCUGGAGGAAUACCGGUGGCGAAGGCGGCCCCCUGGACAAAGACUGACGCUCAGGUGCGAAAGCGUGGGGAGCAAACA